rnacentral:tRNA from 1 species
GUUAUCUUGGCAGAUUAGUGCGAUAGAUUUAGAAUCUUUAAAUGUAAGUUAUUUUACAGGUAACA